rnacentral:rRNA from 1 species
AGCAGCCGCGGUAAUUCCAGCUCCAAUAGCGUAUAUUAAAGUUGUUGCAGUUAAAAAGCUCGUAGUUGAAUUUCGGGAUCAAUACGUCGGUCGUGCUUUCGGGUACGUACUGGCGUCAUUGGUUUCUCCUUUCUGACGAACCAUGAUGUCAUUAAUUUGGUGUUAUGGGGAGUUAGGACUGUUACUUUGAAAAAUUAGAGUGUUUAAAGCAGGCAUUAGCUUGAAUACAUUAGCAUGGAAUAAUGAAAUAGGACGUUCGAUCCUAUUUUGUUGGUUUCUAGGAUCAACGUAAUGAUUAAUAGGGAUAGUUGGGGGCAUUAGUAUUCAAUUGUCAGAGGUGAAAUUCUUGGAUUUAUUGAAGACUAACUACUGCGAAAGCAUUUGCCAAGGAUGUUUUCAUUAAUCAAGAACGAAAGUUAGGGGAUCGAAGACGAUCAGAUACCGUCGUAGUCUUAACCAUAAACUAUGCCGACUAGGGAUCGGAUGAUGUUAAUUUUUAAUGACUCAUUCG